rnacentral:rRNA from 1 species
UAUCUCUGUAGAGUCUGCAUAUCAAUAAGCGGAGGAAAAGAAACUAACUAGGAUUCCCUCAGUAACGGCGAGUGAAGCGGGAAGAGCUCAAAUUUGAAAUCUUAAAGGGUUUCCCUUUACGAAUUGUAGUUUAAAGAAGUGUUUUCUGUCGGAGUUUCGGUAAAAGUUCUUUGGAAUAGGACAUCAUAGAGGGUGAGAAUCCCGUAUUUGACCGUUACUUUCCAGCUGUGUGAUACACUUUCAAAGAGUCGGAUUGUUUGGGAAUGCAGCCCAAGAUGGGUGGUAAAUUUCAUCUAAAGCUAAAUAUUGGCGAGAGACCGAUAGCGAACAAGUACCGUGAGGGAAAGAUGAAAAGAACUUUGAAAAGAGAGUUAAACAGUACGUGAAAUUGUCAAAAGGGAAGCGUUUGACACCAGUGUUGUUUAGUUGAAAAUCAAUUCAAUAGUUUUUGAUUCUAAGUAGUAUUGACUUCAUCAGCUUGCUGCUUUCUUCUCGGAAAUUAUUGAAUGCACUUUUCAGUUAACAAGUCAACAUCAAUUUCUUUUGUUGUAAAAGGGUAAGAGGAAGGUGGCUUGCGCUUCGGCUCAAGUGUUUAUAGCCUUUUAUCUCUGCAAUCGGAGAGAUUGAGGUCUGCAGCGUAGAUCCUUCGGGGUUAGAUACAUUGGUGCUAAGCUAUAGCCUUGUAUAGACAACUUGUUGACUAUGCUCAGUCAUGUAGCUUACUCGCUGAUGCUAUUUUACCUACGCUUAGGAUGUUGAAGUCAUCGUAUCGCGC